rnacentral:rRNA from 1 species
GAUGAACGCUGGCGGCGUGCUUAACACAUGCAAGUCGAACGGUGAAGGCGGAGCUUGCUCUGCUGGAUCAGUGGCGAAAGGGUGAGUAACACGUGAGCAAUCUGCCCCUGACUCUGGGAUAAGCGCUGGAAACGGCGUCUAACACUGGAUACGAGCUGCGAAGGCAUCUUCAGCAGCUGGAAAGAACUUCGGUCAGGGAUGAGCUCGCGGCCUAUCAGCUUGUUGGUGAGGUAGCGGCUCACCAAGGCGUCGACGGGUAGCCGGCCUGAGAGGGUGACCGGCCACACUGGGACUGAGAAACGGCCCAGACUCCUACGGGAGGCAGCAGUGGGGAAUAUUGCACAAUGGGCGAAAGCCGGAUGCAGCAACGCCGGGUGAGGGAAGACGGCCUUCGGGUUGUAAACCUCUUUUGGCAGGGAAGAAGCGAAAGUGACGGUACCUGCAGAAAAAGCGCCGGCUAACUACGUG